GAAAUGUACACCUUACCUGAUAGUAUUAUGCAGGGGUAUCACUUGGAAUUGAUGGUGUUGCUUGAAGGCAGAGCAAAAACCAACAUGUGGAAGGUGGUGCUGAGCUUCUCAACCUGGGGCUUGCUUGCAACUGCAACCAGCCAACAAACCAACAGCUACGGGUGAACCAUCUCCCUGAUCCUUCCAUUGCACUGCAUCUUUGACUCCUCAUGGGUAUAUAUAUGCCAGGCCAUAGGCAGCAUAUGUCUACUGAUCUCUGAGACUCGGCAGAGGCAACACCGUGAAACUUCCAAGCCGAAGCAAUAUCAUGGCUCCCUUCAACAAUGGCCGAUCAUGCUUUGUUGCAGAUGAUGAUGUUUCUGAGGGCUCGGAAACAGCGUCCUUCAUAAGGUAAAUUGUUUCCAGGAUUUUUUAUGCUACUAUAUAUAUCCUGAUGUGUUCUGUAAUUUGUACUAUAGUAAAGUUGUUAUGUUUCGGUUUCAUUGCUCUGAAUGAUACAAGCUUCUCUUGUUUGAUUAGUAGUAACAUUGCCUGAUGAUUAUUGUUGAAGAUAUUUUUAUAUCAUUGGGGAGGUUUCUCCCUGAAGGGGAGCCUUGGCGCAGUGGUAAAGCUGCUGCCUUGUGACCAUGAGGUCACGGGUUCAAGUCCUGGAAACAGCCUCUUACAGAAAUGUAGGGAAAGGCUGCAUACUAUAGACCCAAAGUGGUCGGACCCUUCCCCGGACCCUGCGCAAGCGGGAGCUACAUGCACCGGGCUGCCCUUUGGGGAGGUUUCUCCCUGGUUCCAUUACUAGAACAAAAUUUGGAUAAUUGCAGUCAGUUUUAUACGGCCUCAUCUCAAACAGAAAAAUCAUUUAGUGCCGUCGGUCUGUUCUCCAAACUAACAGCAGAUGAGCAUACCAUUUUCUCUCAGAAGAAUGAAAAGUAGACGGGCAUGUCUUGUCGUCGUCAAAAUGGUGCUAUUUUGUGGCACAACGGCGCAGCAUACAAGCAGCUUACCUCUUUGAAUUCAGAAGCAACUUUUUUUUUGGAAACAACGAACCUCCCUCGUCGGUUUCCACUAGAGAAACCUAGAGUCUUACAACAUUCGAAGAGAGAGAGAAAGCAUAAGAACACCUGGAGCGAUAUACCCAGGGCAGUUUGUGCAUCAUCAGGCAAACUAAUAUAUAUUAGCUUUCAGGUAACUGUGCAGGUCCUGAAAACCAGCUCACACGCAGCAGUUUCUUCAGAACUUUUAAGCAGGGCCUUUUGGCACUCACACACAAACUGGAACAAGCCUUGUAAAGCAAACUAGAGAGGUUAUCACUCAAGGAAGAAAGAAAACAAGAAGGCGGUGUAGUAGAAAUCAUCCACCCGUGAUUCUGGGAACCGUAGGGCCCCAUCCAUGGCUUCUGUUGUAGAUCUCCCGCACCACCUGCCUGAUCUUCUCCACAGCGAGCUCAAUGCUUCCUGCUUUCAGGUUUGUCUACAAGAUUUUCCAGUUGGUGAGAUGACUGCAAAUAUGGAAGAUAACUGGUGCAGGAUCAUUAGGCAUUUUCUUAUCAAAACAUGCUGCAUUUCUGGUUUUCCAUAUUGUCCACCAUAGAGCAGUCCCUCCCAUCAUAGCCAUUUUUCUUUUGGCUGGGAGGGAACUGGUCCGGUAAGCCAGAAGUAAGAUCGUAAGAUCAUGAACAUCAUCAGGCGUCUCACAAGGUCAAAAGCACAGAGAAUCACAUUAUAUUCAAACAGCAAAUGUUUGAUGAAGCAACCCGUUAAACGUAGCAAUCAGGAAGACAACCUGGUACGUACGUGGCAAGCAUGCUCGUUCACUACUGCAUUAUUGCAAUUUUCUAAAUUCAUAGUGUGCAGAUAGAGAAGAACCAUUUCAUGCCUCUUUUUGCUGUACAUUAUGGUUUUAUGAUCUUAGGUACGUUUCUGUUCAGCCUAGCCUGAGUGUUGUCCUGUGCUUCUUUUGAUUCUUGUUAACUCUAGCACUUGUUUCGAAAACGAGAGGGAUCAGGAAAACAAUGCUAGAUUAUCUCAACCAACAGCAUCCUCUCGGUUUAACAAAUUGUACAAAACAUUAUUAUGUAACUCAUACAAUCACUACAAGAAAGGCAGUCAUAUGAUUCAAUUAAAAUGUCUGCGUCUGCUAUAAAAUACAGAAGGUGCAACCAUAAUUACCUAAAUUUGAGUAACUAAGUUCACCAAAGUUUCAUGGCCAGUAUAUACCAAAACAAGAAAUACAUUUUCAGCCCUUUUUAACUUACAAAACACACACACGUAUCAGCUUUCCUCAGCGCGGCACCCGUGUCUUCUAUGCAACCGUGGAAUGGAAUGAACAAAUGACCUGUUGCCGCGCACCUCAUGGAACAUGACAGCGACUUGAAGCUCGCUGAAUCUCUUGGUCUCAUUUCAUCAUACGUAAUAAGCCAGCAAAGUAGACAACACAGUCCAGAACACCAAUAGUGGGAGCGUCCAUGGUUGUUUUGUCAGAGGGCUUGCACUAGGCAACCAUGGAUAGUCAUCGGGAGAUGGCAUGACACAGUUAUCACCAUUGAAGUACACACGCCGGGGAAACGCCCAUCCUUUUUGGAAGGUGAAAGUCUCCGAGUCCUUCCGCAUGAGUAGUUCUGACUGCGCGUUUCCAAGCGGGCCAGCUUGAUUGAGCAAAUCAUUGUAGAACUUCAUUCCCCAGAACAUUGCGGUGUCAUCUGAAAUGGGAGGGAUAAACACGUCAGAUAGGAGGCACAUCUCAAGUCAGAAACUAAUUAAAACAGUUCACAAGGUGACUUACUUAUGCGGCCUCCAUAUGGGGUAAGUGGCUUAUAGUUGAAGCUGAACAGCUUUGUGAUAUUAUCGAAGUUAGGAUGCUGGGCAACCAUGUUCCAGUCUGUAUAAUUCAUGCGGUAGUUGAAGUUUGUGAUGGUGACUUUCACUCUCCAGUAGUCCUUGUAGUUGAGCUUCACAUGCCAAUGGAUUCUUAUCGGGCACAUGUGGGAAGUACAUUGGACAAGAGGCUGGCCAGUUAAUUUGCCAGGGCCAUUGAUGGCAGAUUGUAAAUAAGGCGAAUUGUCACUGUAAAAUGGAUAGGAUUAGUAAGGAAUUUGCAGAAGGUUGGAACCUUAAUAGGAAGCAUAGUAAACAGUAAUAAUUAUUAACUCACUUUACACAGCUUCCUGGACGAGUAAUAUUGUUUUGGCAGCCACAAGAGCACGUUGGGCAGUUCACAAUAGUGUCGUUAUAAAACGAUGAGAGAGAUACACAGCAGGUGGGAGUCUUCUGAGCAAGAAAUUGGGAGUAUGUGCAGGUUACAUUCCACGACACUGCCAAUAGAGAAUUUCUUUUGUUAAUACCCACUAAAUAAAGAACAUUGUCAGCAAUAAAGAAUAAAAACUAUAUGGAACCAAUCUGAUGUUUCCUGCAUUUGAAAUCCAUUAUUUGCAAGUGAACAAAACUAGUUAAGAUAUUAUCAGGCUUAGUGGUGGCUUAUUUUCAAAUAAAUAUGAGCUAACAUCGAUCCUAGGUGAUGAACUCAUCUCCUCUCGAAAAUGAAUCACUUCCGAUUUCAAUGGUUUCACUCCUUUCAGUCUUUCACUAAUCCUACACAUAUUAUAACAUAAAAUUCAUUCACAAUUAAGGAGCAGAAACGUACAAAAGUGGUACUAAGAUGUGUUUAGCUCAAUUAGUGUAGCUUGCUAAUGCAUUUGCGCAAAGUAUUAAAGCAAUAUAGAGCAAGCAGUGAAGAGCAAUAAGUGGGCAACUUACUGAGAGCUUGGGUUACCCUGCGCCCGUCUGACGAGUAAUACUUGGUAGGCCUGCCAACAAGAGCACGCCCACAUGUGUACCCCGGACCUGGGGCCCUAAGGGUGAAGUUUUUCGGCAUCUUAACCGUCUUAUUGGUAGUCCCAGCAAGACCUACACUAAUCUGGAAGGAGGAUGCAGCAUUUCCUGGGUCCUGGUUAAAUGUCUUUAUAACUCCUGCCUUGCAACAAUUGGCAAUUUGCUGGUUGAAUGGGGUGCCCGGAAGAAGAUCGACAAUCGUUGGAUCUCUCUUGCAGCAAUGGGGAGGGGCACUCUUGAAUUUUGAGCAAUCACCCUGCUCAGUAGCCUGAGCCCCCACCAUCGACCAGAUGACCUCUUUCUUUGCCCAUGACCAUCCCAGCUGCCACCCAGGUGCAGGUAUGUGUCGGAACUGCUGGUAGUUGAACAUUGUCACUGUUGCCUGCACAUGAUAAGUUUGGGAAAAAAAGAUCAUGAUACAAGUAGAGGUGACCAGAUAUCCAAAAUCUGCUGGUAAUUGUACUUGGUGGCUACUAUAUUGUUUGUGGCAAAGUUUGUAACCAACUAUUAGCCAUGCUACUUGUCAAGGUCAAAAUCAUGAGCUAAUAUAAAUAUAUAAUACCACUUGGCAUGAGUGGUGAGCUAUCUCAAAAACAAUGAAAAAAUAAUAUAAAUAUAUAAUAGGCUAAUAGGUUGAGAUGAAAGACAGAGCUGUUGAUGUGAAGAGGUGCUACUUACCACAUAACCAUCAGGAGUCCACGAAAUAAUAUCCCAUUUUAUGGUGAUGUUGCCGUUUGGAUCCAGCGAAUCAUAAGCCUCUGCGUGAACAAACAAACAAAGGGUGCAUACAUCAGAUACAUACAUGGAAAGAAACUAAAGAGAGAAGUUGAAUUGACACGCUAGAUGCACUCUAUGUUACUACUACUUCUACAUCAUAAUUGCAGUUUGCAGGAUUUAUCCAGUGGAUACUUUCUAGCAGCAAAGCAAUUGGUCGAUAUGUUUGUACUGAUCCGCUUCCCUCCUGGACAGAUCUAUCGCCGCAGAGCUCGCCACGAGCAAGUGUCAACAAGAUCGGCAGAGUGGCAGCGGGGAAGCUUGACAGAUCGCUCGUCUCACAGAUAGGAAUAGCUUCCUAAUUUGGCUUCAGAACUCGGACAAGCUCUAAAUGAACGGACAGGACUAACCCGGUGGGAUCAAAAUUAGAAGCCACCGACACCGACAGCACUAACUAAACGGGAGGGCGCAUUGACCAGCGCGCGGAGCAGAACCCGUGCGACCGCCUCGUCUCACCGAUGCACCGCGGCGAUCGGGAUCCGUUUACCGAUUCGCCGGCUCCAGGCACGACGACGAGGAACGAGAGAGAGGGAAGGACCGGGCGGGCGGGAAGGAGAGGAGCUAGCCGA
rnacentral:lncRNA from 1 species